rnacentral:rRNA from 1 species
GAGUGAACGCUGGCGGCGUGGCUUAACACAUGCGAAGUCGAACGGAGCACCUUGAGUUUGAGUUCUUACGGAUGAAGAUCUUGGUGACUGAGUGGCGGACGGGUGAGUAACGCGUGGGUAACCUGCCUCAUACAGGGGGAUAACAGUUAGAAAUGACUGCUAAUACCGCAUAAGACCACAGCACCGCAUGGUGCAGGGGUAAAAACUCCGGUGGUAUGAGAUGGACCCGCGUCUGAUUAGGUAGUUGGUGGGGUAACGGCCUACCAAGCCGACGAUCAGUAGCCGACCUGAGAGGGUGACCGGCCACAUUGGGACUGAGACACGGCCCAA